rnacentral:rRNA from 1 species
UACGUAGGGGGCAAGCGUUGUCCGGAUUUAUUGGGCGUAAAGAGCGUGUAGGCGGCCAGACAGGUCCGUUGUGAAAACUCGAGGCUCAACCCCGAGACGCCGAUGGAAACCGUCUGGCUAGAGUCCGGAAGAGGAGAGUGGAAUUCCUGGUGUAGCGGUGAAAUGCGCAGAUAUCAGGAAGAACACCCGUGGCUAAGGCGGCUCUCUAGUACGGUACUGACGCUGAGACGCGAAAGCGUGGGGAGCGAACAGG